AUGAACGCUAGCGACAGGCUUAACACAUGCAAGUCGAGGGGCAGCACAGGUAGCAAUACCGGGUGGCGACCGGCGCACGGGUGAGUAACGCGUAUGCAACUUGCCUAUCAGAGGGGGAUAACCCGGCGAAAGUCGGACUAAUACCGCAUGAAGCAGGGAUCCCGCAUGGGAAUAUUUGCUAAAGAUUCAUCGCUGAUAGAUAGGCAUGCGUUCCAUUAGGCAGUUGGCGGGGUAACGGCCCACCAAACCGACGAUGGAUAGGGGUUCUGAGAGGAAGGUCCCCCACAUUGGUACUGAGACACGGACCAAACUCCUACGGGAGGCAGCAGUGAGGAAUAUUGGUCAAUGGCCGAGAGGCUGAACCAGCCAAGUCGCGUGAGGGAUGAAGGUUCUAUGGAUCGUAAACCUCUUUUAUAAGGGAAUAAAGUGCGGGACGUGUCCCGUUUUGUAUGUACCUUAUGAAUAAGGAUCGGCUAACUCCGUGCCAGCAGCCGCGGUAAUACGGAGGAUCCGAGCGUUAUCCGGAUUUAUUGGGUUUAAAGGGUGCGUAGGCGGCCUUUUAAGUCAGCGGUGAAGGUCUGUGGCUCAACCAUAGAAUUGCCGUUGAAACUGGGGGGCUUGAGUAUGUUUGAGGCAGGCGGAAUGCGUGGUGUAGCGGUGAAAUGCAUAGAUAUCACGCAGAACCCCGAUUGCGAAGGCAGCCUGCCAAGCCAUUACUGACGCUGAUGCACGAAAGCGUGGGGAUCAAACAGGAUUAGAUACCCUGGUAGUCCACGCAGUAAACGAUGAUCACUAGCUGUUUGCGAUACACUGUAAGCGGCACAGCGAAAGCGUUAAGUGAUCCACCUGGGGAGUACGCCGGCAACGGUGAAACUCAAAGGAAUUGACGGGGGCCCGCACAAGCGGAGGAACAUGUGGUUUAAUUCGAUGAUACGCGAGGAACCUUACCCGGGUUUGAACGCAUUCGGACCGAGGUGGAAACACCUUUUCUAGCAAUAGCCGUUUGCGAGGUGCUGCAUGGUUGUCGUCAGCUCGUGCCGUGAGGUGUCGGCUUAAGUGCCAUAACGAGCGCAACCCUUGCCACUAGUUACUAACAGGUAAAGCUGAGGACUCUGGUGGGACUGCCAGCGUAAGCUGCGAGGAAGGCGGGGAUGACGUCAAAUCAGCACGGCCCUUACAUCCGGGGCGACACACGUGUUACAAUGGCGUGGACAAAGGGAAGCCACCUGGCGACAGGGAGCGAAUCCCCAAACCACGUCUCAGUUCGGAUCGGAGUCUGCAACCCGACUCCGUGAAGCUGGAUUCGCUAGUAAUCGCGCAUCAGCCAUGGCGCGGUGAAUACGUUCCCGGGCCUUGUACACACCGCCCGUCAAGCCAUGGGAGCCGGGGGUACCUGAAGUCCGUAACCGCGAGGAUCGGCCUAGGGUAAAACUGGUGACUGGGGCU
rnacentral:rRNA from 1 species